rnacentral:rRNA from 1 species
UACGAAGGGGGCUAGCGUUGCUCGGAAUUACUGGGCGUAAAGGGUGCGUAGGCGGGUCUUUAAGUCAGGGGGGAAAUCCUGGAGCUCAACUCCAGAACUGCCUUUGAUACUGAAGAUCUUGAGUCCGGGAGAGGUGAGUGGAACUGCGAGUGUAGAGGUGAAAUUCGUAGAUAUUCGCAAGAACACCAGUGGCGAAGGCGGCUCACUGGCCCGGUACUGACGCUGAGGCACGGAAGCGUGGGGAGCAAACAGG